GACGAACGCUGGCGGCGUGCUUAACACAUGCAAGUCGUACGGUAAGGCCCUUUCGGGGGUACACGAGUGGCGCACGGGUGAGUAACACGUGAGUAACCUGCCCACAACUUUGGGAUAACGCUAGGAAACUGGUGCUAAUACUGGAUAUGUGCUCCUGCUGCAUGGUGGGGGUUGGAAAGCUCCGGCGGUUGUGGAUGGACUCGCGGCCUAUCAGCUUGUUGGGGGGGUAGUGGCCUACCAAGGCGGCGACGGGUAGCCGGCCUGAGAGGGUGACCGGCCACAUUGGGACUGAGAUACGGCCCAGACUCCUACGGGAGGCAGCAGUGGGGAAUAUUGCACAAGGGGCGCAAGCCUGAUGCAGCAACGCCGCGUGCGGGAUGACGGCCUUCGGGUUGUAAACCGCUUUCAGCAGGGACGAAGCUUUUUGUGACGGUACCUGCAGAAGAAGCACCGGCUAACUACGUG
rnacentral:rRNA from 1 species